GGCGAGAUGGCCGAGCGGUCUAAGGCGCCAGACUAAGGUAGUGGGAUUUGAACCCACGAAAUGGCAAAAAAUCUGGUCCUCACGGGCGUGGGUUCGAAUCCCACUCUCGUCA